rnacentral:rRNA from 1 species
AUGGAUGGGAAACUACCAGACGGAGAUGAUAUUGGACAAAUCAAAAUUAGUAAAAGAAAGAAAACACUAGAAGUUCAACUAGGUUCUCAGGUUAGAAAAAGGUCUCAUUUCACUUUGCUAAAGUCCAUCCAGAAUCUUGGAAUCCUAUGUGGUCUCUGGCAAGGCCUGGGGAUGUUUUUUCAUUUGACAUACUUCAAGUAUUUUGUGGGAUACGUCCAACGACAACGAGCAGGCGGCAAGUGUAUUGAUGAGCAGCGGGAUGGUGGCAUGGAGCAGUUGAGUAGUGCUUAUAAGCUUGACAUCUUUGAUGAAUCCAGCCCAAACUGA